rnacentral:rRNA from 1 species
GACGAACGCUGGCGGCGUGCCUAACACAUGCAAGUCGAACGGAGAUAUGAUUUCGGUUGUAUCUUAGUGGCGAACGGGUGAGUAACGCGUGAGCAACCUGACUCUUAGAGGGGGAUAACACUCGGAAACGGGUGCUAAUACCGCAUAAGACCACGACAUGGCAUCAUGACGAGGUCAAAGGAGCAAUCCGCUGAGAGAGGGGCUCGCGUCCCAUUAGAUAGAUGGCGGGGUAACGGCUCACCAUGUCAACGAUGGGUAGCCGAGCUGAGAGGCUGAUCGGCCACACUGGAACUGAGACACGGUCCAGACUCCUACGGGAGGCAGCAGUGGGGAAUAUUGGGCAAUGGGCGCAAGCCUGACCCAGCAACGCCGCGUGAGGGAAGAAGGCUUUCGGGUUGUAAACCUCUGUCCUUGGCGACGAAACAAAUGACGGUAGCCAAGGAGGAAGCCCCGGCUAACUACGUGCCAGCCGCCGCCGUAA